CUUCAGGAUCGCUAGGGUUCCGGUCGUGCGGCGUGUGCCGCGCGAUGCCUGGUCCGAGAGCAAUCCGGUCUUGCCUUCGCCUCGACGAGAGGAAACGGCGAGGCUCCACGGAGGGAUAAAAGCCCGGGAGGU
rnacentral:sRNA from 19 species